UUCCGUCGGAAUCUGGGAGGACCAUCUCCUAAGGCUAAAUACUCUCUAGUGACCGAUAGUGAACCAGUACCGUGAGGGAAAGGUGAAAAGCACCCCGGAAGGGGAGUGAAAUAGAACCUGAAACCGUGUGCUUACAAGUAGUCAGAGCCCGUUAAUGGGUGAUGGCGUGCCUUUUGUAGAAUGAACCGGCGAGUUACGAUUUGAUGCAAGGUUAAGCAGUAAAUGUGGAGCCGUAGCGAAAGCGAGUCUGAAUAGGGCGUUUAGUAUUUGGUCGUAGACCCGAAACCAGGUGAUCUACCCUUGGUCAGGUUGAAGUUCAGGUAACACUGAAUGGAGGACCGAACCGACUUACGUUGAAAAGUGAGCGGAUGAACUGAGGGUAGCGGAGAAAUUCCAAUCGAACCUGGAGAUAGCUGGUUCUCUCCGAAAUAGCUUUAGGGCUAGCCUCAAGUGAUGAUUAUUGGAGGUAGAGCACUGUUUGGACGAGGGGCCCCUCUCGGGUUACCGAAUUCAGACAAACUCCGAAUGCCAAUUAAUUUAACUUGGGAGUCAGAACAUGGGUGAUAAGGUCCGUGUUCGAAAGGGAAACAGCCCAGACCACCAGCUAAGGUCCCAAAAUAUAUGUUAAGUGGAAAAGGAUGUGGCGUUGCCCAGACAACUAGGAUGUUGGCUUAGAAGCAGCCAUCAUUUAAAGAGUGCGUAAUAGCUCACUAGUCGAGUGACACUGCGCCGA
rnacentral:rRNA from 1 species